rnacentral:tRNA from 1 species
AAGACACUAGUAAAGAGAAUAUAACACUGCCUUGUCAAGGCAGAAUCGUGGGCUAAGCCCCCGCGUGUCUUA